rnacentral:rRNA from 1 species
UACGUAGGGACCGAGCGUUUGUCCGGAAUCAUUGGGCGUAAAGAGCGUGUAGGCGGCUUGCUAAGUCUUGCGUGAAAUCUCGGGGCUCAACCCCCGAGCGGUCGUGGGAAACUGGCAGGCUAGAGUGCGGGAGAGGAGAAUGGAAUUCCUGGUGUAGCGGUGAAAUGCGCAGAUAUCAGGAAGAACACCCGUGGCGAAGGCGGUUCUCUGGAACGCAACUGACGCUGAGACGCGAAAGCGUGGGGAGCAAACAGG